rnacentral:pre_miRNA from 8 species
ACACGGAGAAAACCAAGCUGGUCUGUGAUUUAGGUAGUUUCAAGUUGUUGGGCUGGACGUUUAAUUUCACAGGAACCUGAAACUGCCUGAAUUGCUCCAGUUAAACGCAACAUUGUCCGUU